GUCCAGUAGCACAUUAGAGACCAACUAAGUUUGUUCUUGGUAUAAGCUUUUGUGUGCAUGCACACUUCUUCAGAUACACUCUAAGCUUUUCGUGCAUGUACACGAAAGCUUAUACCAAGAAGUAACGUAGUUGGUCUCUAAGGUGCUACUGGACAA